UGCCAGCAGCCGCGGUAAUACAGAGGGUGCAAACGUUGUUCGGAAUUACUGGGCAUAAAGCGCGCGUAGGCGGUUUGGUAAGUGUGAAGUGAAAUCCCACGGCUCACCCGUGGACGUGCUUUGCAUACUGCCGAACUUGAGGACGGUAGGGGAGAGCGGAACUCCUGGUGGAGCGGUGAAAUGCGUAGAUAUCAGGAGGAACACCGGUGGCGAAGGCGGCUCUCUGGUCCGUUUCUGACGCUGAGGUGCGAAAGCCAGGGUAGCGAACGGGAUUAGAUA
rnacentral:rRNA from 1 species